GGAAGGGUCGCAUAGCGGUCUAGUGCGCGGCUUUGGAAAAGCCGUAAAGGAGAAAUCCUUUCGUGGGUUCAAAUCCCACCCCUUCCG
rnacentral:tRNA from 1 species